UACGUAGGGUGCAAGCGUUAAUCGGAAUUACUGGGCGUAAAGCGUGCGCAGGCGGUUUUGUAAGUCUGUCGUGAAAUCCCCCGGGCUCAACCUGGGAAUUGCGAUGGAGACUGCAAGGCUAGAAUCUGGCAGAGGGGGGUAGAAUUCCACGUGUAGCAGUGAAAUGCGUAGAGAUGUGGAGGAACACCGAUGGCGAAGGCAGCCCCCUGGGUCAAGAUUGACGC
rnacentral:rRNA from 1 species